CGUGGACAACCUGCCGUAUGCAGGGGGAUACCAGCUGGAAACAGCUGCUAAUACCGCAUAUGCGCACAGGGCCGCAUGGCCUGGUGCGGAAAGGAGCAAUCCGGCAUACGAUGGGUCCGCGUCCGAUUAGCUAGUUGGCGGGGCAGCGGCCCACCAAGGCGACGAUCGGUAGCCGGCCUGAGAGGGCGGACGGCCACAUUGGGACUGAGACACGGCCCAGACUCCUACGGAAGGCAGCAG
rnacentral:rRNA from 1 species